AAAUCUCUCAGCGGUUGAAUAUAUUAACUUCAAGAAAGUGUAAUGCCACCAUGCUUGUCAGAUAGGAAAGGAGUUGUUACCCUCGGGUUUUCAUGAUCAUUAAUGGAUUUUGUAUAUCUUUGUAUCCAUAUUCUCUGGCAUUUUACUAGGGUCAAUGAGUUGUUACCCCCGGGUUUUCAUGAUCAUUAAUGGAUUUUGUACAUCUUUGUAUCCAUAUUCUGUGGCUAAUCCACUCAGGUAAUUUAAGGCUUAUUUUUGACAUGCUUACUGCUAUGUUAUAAUAAUCAAAUGAGUAAUAAGGAAGUAACCUUUGGGUAUAAAAGAUCAGUUCUAUAUUCCUUUCCAAUAG
rnacentral:lncRNA from 1 species